rnacentral:rRNA from 1 species
CGGGUAGUCAGAUGUGAAGCCUUCCGCUCAACGGAAGAAGUGCAUUUGAAACUGCUCGGCUGGAGUACGGGAGAGGAGAGUGGAAUUCCCGGUGUAGAGGUGAAAUUCGUAGAUAUCGGGAGGAACACCAGUGGCGAAGGCGGCUCUCUGGCCCGAUACUGACGCUGAGACGCGAAAGCGUGGGGAGCAAACAGGAUUAGAUACCCUGGUAGUCCACGCCGUAAACGAUGGGCACUAGGUGUAGGAGGUAUUGACCCCUGCAGUGCCAAGGGCGAAUUCCACAGUGGAUA